rnacentral:lncRNA from 1 species
CUCAUUCUCCAGGUGGACGCCUGACUUCUUUAAUUCUUCACCCUCAUUCUCCAGGUGGACGCCUCACUUCUUCUUUUCUUUAUCCUCAUUCUCCAGGUGGACGCCUGACUUCUUUAAUUCUUCAUCCUCAUUCUCCAGGUAGAUGCCUGACUUCUUCUUUUCUUUGUCCUCAUUCUCCAGGUGGACGCCUGACUUCUUCUUCUUUUCUUUACCAGGUAUUUCCUGACACAAAUGUUGUAUUUGCCCCUGUUUUAAAUCAAAGAAAACUUCGUUAGUUUAAAGCAGGGUGGUUAACUGGGGUAUUCUUGCCGAUGGUGAGGCUUCUUUUCGUCUCUCUUUAUUGUCUUGGAAUGGUUGAAAAGACUG